GCCCAAGUGGUGGAAUUGGUAGACGCGCUAGUUUCAGGUACUAGUUCCCUUUAACAAGGAGUGGAGGUUCGAGUCCUCUCUUGGGCA
rnacentral:tRNA from 1 species